rnacentral:rRNA from 1 species
AUGGCCGUGUCACGGCGGACGGGGUGGAUCGCCGCCGGCCUCCUCGCGCGCCUGCUCAUGGUGGCCGUCCUGCUCAUGUCCGUGCGCUUCGUUCUGUCCAACUACAUCCAUUGGGACCAUACACAGGGCAUCUACAAGCUCCAGAGCUACACUUAUGUGGUCGCGUCGGCCGUCGUGGGGGCGGCGGGGAGCGUGCUGCAGAUACCCGUCGCCAUGUACCUGCUGUGCAAGAGCAAAAGGGCGAUACCCAGCGCCAUGAUCCUCGACAUCAGCAUGCACGCCGACAUAGUGAUCAGCGUCGUGCUGGCAAGCGGCGUCGGCGCCGGGUUCGGCGCGACCAACGACGUUCUGCGCUACGUCCGGGCGAGCAAAUGGGAAGGCAGGCAGCAAGAGUAG